CGUAGGGGCGAGCGUUGUCCGGAAUUAUUGGGCGUAAAGAGCUCGUAGGCGGCUCAGCAAGUCGGCUGUGAAAUCCCGAGGCUCAACCUCGGAACUGCAGUCGAUACUGCUGUGGCUAGAGUCUGGUAGAGGAGAGUGGAAUUCCCGGUGUAGCGGUGAAAUGCGCAGAUAUCGGGAGGAACACCAGUAGCGAAGGCGGCUCUCUGGGCCAGUACUGACGCUGAGGAGCGAAAGCGUGGGGAGCAAACAGGA
rnacentral:rRNA from 1 species